rnacentral:tRNA from 4 species
GUGAAUGUAGCUCAGUUGGCAGAGCACCAGGUUGUGGCCCUGGGGGCCGAGGGUUCAAGCCCCUUCAUUCACCCCA